rnacentral:rRNA from 1 species
UACGUAGGGGGCUAGCGUUGUCCGGAAUCAUUGGGCGUAAAGCGCGCGUAGGCGGCCCGGUAAGUCCGCUGUGAAAGUCAAAGGCUCAACCUUUGAAUGUCAGCGGAUACUGCCGGGCUAGAGUCCGGAAGAGGCGAGUGGAACUCCUGGUGUAGCGGUGGAAUGCGCAGAUAUCAGGAAGAACACCAACGGCGAAGGCAGCUCGCUGGGACGGAACUGACGCUGAGGCGCGAAAGCGUGGGGAGCGUACAGG